GUGAACGCUGGCGGUAGGCCUAACACAUGCCAGUCGCACGGCAGCACAGUAAGAGCUUGCUCUUACGGGUGGCGAGUGGCGGACGGGUGAGGAAUACAUCGGAAUCUACUUUUUCGUGGGGGAUAACGUAGGGAAACUUACGCUAAUGCCGCAUACGACCUACGGGUGAAAGCAGGGGAUCUUCGGACCUUGCGCGAUUGAAUGAGCCGAUGUCGGAUUAGCUAGUUGGCGGGGUAAAGGCCCACCAAGGCGACGAUCCGUAGCUGGUCUGAGAGGAUGAUCAGCCACACUGGAACUGAGACACGGUCCAGACUCCUACGGGAGGCAGCAGUGGGGAAUAUUGGACAAUGGGCGCAAGCCUGAUCCAGCCAUACCGCGUGGGUGAAGAAGGCCUUCGGGUUGUAAAGCCCUUUUGUUGGGAAAGAAAAGCAGCAGGUUAAUACCCCGCUGUUCUGACGGUACCCAAAGAAUAAGCACCGGCUAACUUCGUG
rnacentral:rRNA from 1 species